UACAAAUGCGUAUGUGUGCUGGAAGUCUC
rnacentral:piRNA from 1 species